rnacentral:rRNA from 1 species
GACGAACGCUGGCGGCGCGCCUAACACAUGCAAGUCGAACGAGCGAGAGAGAGCUUACUUUCUCGAGCGAGUGGCGAACGGGUGAGUAACGCGUGAGGAACCUGCCUCAAAGAGGGGGACAACAGUUGGAAACGACUGCUAAUACCGCAUAAGCCCACAGGUCGGCAUCGACCAGAGGGAAAAGGAGCAAUCCGCUUUGAGAUGGCCUCGCGUCCGAUUAGCUAGUUGGUGAGGUAAUGGCCCACCAAGGCGACGAUCGGUAGCCGGACUGAGAGGUUGAACGGCCACAUUGGGACUGAGACACGGCCCAGACUCCUACGGGAGGCAGCAGUGGGGAAUAUUGCACAAUGGGGGAAACCCUGAUGCAGCGACGCCGCGUGGAGGAAGAAGGUCUUCGGAUUGUAAACUCCUGUUGUUGAGGAAGAUAAUGACGGUACUCAACAAGGAAGUGACGGCUAA